rnacentral:snRNA from 1 species
UCCCUCGCGGGUGCACCGCCGACCGAC